AUGAACGCUGGCGGCGUGCCUAAUACCUGCAAGUCGCGCGAACAGACGAGGAGCUUGCUCCUCUGACGUUAGCGGCGGACGGGUGAGUAACACGUGGAUAACCUACCUAUAAGACUGGGAUAACUUCGGGAAACCGGAGCUAAUACCGGAUAAUAUAUUGAACCGCAUGGUUCAAUAGUGAAAGACGGUUUUGCUGUCACUUAUAGAUGGAUCCGCGCCGCAUUAGCUAGUUGGUAAGGUAACGGCUUACCAAGGCAACGAUGCGUAGCCGACCUGAGAGGGUGAUCGGCCACACUGGAACUGAGACACGGUCCAGACUCCUACGGGAGGCAGCAGUAGGGAAUCUUCCGCAAUGGGCGAAAGCUUGACGGAGCAACGCCGCGUGAGUGAUGAAGGUCUUCGGAUCGUAAAACUCUGUUAUUAGGGAAGAACAAAUGUGUAAGUAACUAUGCACGUCUUGACGGUACCUAAUCAGAAAGCCACGGCUAACUACGUA
rnacentral:rRNA from 1 species